rnacentral:rRNA from 1 species
UACGUAGGGCGCAAGCGUUAUCCGGAAUUAUUGGGCGUAAAGAGCUCGUAGGCGGUUUGUCGCGUCUGCCGUGAAAGUCCGGGGCUCAACUCCGGAUCUGCGGUGGGUACGGGCAGACUAGAGUGAUGUAGGGGAGACUGGAAUUCCUGGUGUAGCGGUGAAAUGCGCAGAUAUCAGGAGGAACACCGAUGGCGAAGGCAGGUCUCUGGGCAUUAACUGACGCUGAGGAGCGAAAGCAUGGGGAGCGAAUGGG